CCUACGGGAGGCAGCAGUGAGGAAUAUUGGUCAAUGGACGAGAGUCUGAACCAGCCAAGUAGCGUGAAGGAUGACUGCCCUAUGGGUUGUAAACUUCUUUUAUAUGGGAAUAAAAUGUUCCACGUGUGGGAUUUUGUAUGUACCAUAUGAAUAAGGAUCGGCUAACUCCGUGCCAGCAGCCGCGGUAAUACGGAGGAUCCGAGCGUUAUCCGGAUUUAUUGGGUUUAAAGGGAGCGUAGGUGGAUUGUUAAGUCAGUUGUGAAAGUUUGCGGCUCAACCGUAAAAUUGCAGUUGAAACUGGCAGUCUUGAGUACAGUAGAGGUGGGCGGAAUGCGUGGUGUAGCGGUGAAAUGCUUAGAUAUCACGAAGAACUCCGAUUGCGAAGGCAGUUCACUGGACUGCAACUGACACUGAGGCACGAAAGUGUGGGUAUCAAACAGGAUUAGAUACCCCUGUAGUC
rnacentral:rRNA from 1 species